UACGAAGGGUGCAAACGUUGCUCGGAAUUAUUGGGCGUAAAGCGCACGUAGGCGGCUUUGCAAGUCGGAUGUGAAAUCCCUCGGCUCAACCAAGGAAGUGCAUCCGAAACUGCAGAGCUUGAGUACUUAAGAGGAUCGCGGAAUUCCCGGUGUAGAGGUGAAAUGCGCAGAUAUCGGGAGGAACACCGGUGGCGAAGGCGGUUCUCUGGGCCUUACCUGACGCUGAGGAGCGAAAGCGUGGGAGCGAACAGG
rnacentral:rRNA from 1 species